rnacentral:rRNA from 1 species
UACGAAGGGGGCUAGCGUUGCUCGGAAUCACUGAGCGUAAAGCGCACGUAGGCGGCUUUCUAAGUCAGGGGUGAAAUCCUGGAGCUCAACUCCAGAACUGCCUUUGAUACUGGAGAGCUUGAGUCCGGAAGAGGUGAGUGGAACUCCGAGUGUAGAGGUGAAAUUCGUAGAUAUUCGGAAGAACACCAGUGGCGAAGGCGGCUCACUGGUCCGGUACUGACGCUGAGGUGCGAAAGCGUGGGGAGCAAACAGG